AGUUUGAUUGUUGGAUCAUAUGGGAGUUCUAUUUUUGAUUUUUUGAGGAACCUCCAUACUUUUUUCUAUAAAGACUAUACCAAUUUACAUUUUCCCCAACAAU
rnacentral:pre_miRNA from 1 species